AUUGGGCUGGCUUUGCGGAGGGCGCGGGCGGCUCCGCCCGCACUUCUCGGCCUUUCCUAACUGCGGCAGAUGGGAGGGGGCCGGAGAGCCCGGAGAGUGUGCGGCUGCGCAGUUGGAAAGGUGGCAGUGGGCGUUGCGGUUGCUGCGGUCUGGGCCCAGUAGCGGACCGUGUUGGGAGGGAGCUGGGUUUUCAUUUUGUCUGCAAGUAACCUGGCCUCAUUAGAGGCGCUGUUGGCAAUCUCGUUCAUAACAUCACUGUGUAAACAUUUUAUGCCGUUGAUGUUUUUGAUUGUUUAAUCUGGCGUUUGUCUGUGACAGUCAUUGCUAUUAUCUCGAUUGAAUUACUUUCUAAUAGGAAGUACUAGCCGGACAUCAUGAGUGGCUGUCGGGUAUUCAUCGGGAGACUAAAUCCAGCGGCCAGGGAGAAGGACGUGGAAAGAUUCUUCAAGGGAUAUGGACGGAUAAGAGAUAUUGAUCUGAAAAGAGGCUUUGGUUUUGUGGAAUUUGAGGAUCCAAGGGAUGCAGAUGAUGCUGUGUAUGAGCUUGAUGGAAAAGAACUCUGUAGUGAAAGG
rnacentral:sRNA from 1 species